rnacentral:lncRNA from 10 species
CUAGCACAUUUUCACCUCUCAGUAAGACAUCACCUGGUCUAGCGCGGUCUCCCUUCUCACCGCACCGCACCUUCCUCUUGCGCUCCAGACCACGUCCAGCUGCCUAUUCCAAUUUCAUUUUGCUGUUCAGGCGUUUGUUUAAAUUAUGGCAGGAGCACAUGACCUCGGGCAUGGGGGCGCCAAGCAUGCCAGAGUAUCUAGACACAAAGCAGGGCUGGCUGCAUCUCCAACCCCGCCCCACCGUCUGGACUGCUUUCUUUACAUGGAUCUACACACUGUGUGUACAUACGAAAUAAAAUAUACAGUUUUUUCUAGCGAUGCUGCAUUUUCACAAAUGGAAUCAUACAUAUUUCAUGCGUUGUCUGCAACUUGCUUUUUACAUAUAACACCAUGUCCCGGGAGCUUUCCACGUUGGCCCACUUAGCUCGAUCUCAUUUUCUUUGAUGGCUGCAGAGGCCUCUGCCCUGUGGGGCGAUGCUGCUGUGUAACAAGAUCUCCUCCGCCGGCGAAGAAUUAAGCCUGUUUUCCAGACAGUCCAUCUGCUCUUUCCGUGGAACAUGCCCUUCCCAGUGUACCUCACCGCCCGGAGAUACAUCCGUUUCUUUCUGGGAUCUCUAAUUUGAACCUUGUCUGCAAGACCAAUUUUCAUUGUUUUUUGGGUUUUUGUUUUUUGUUUUUU